GGUUUCGUGGUGUAGUUGGUUAUCACGUCAGUCUAACAGCUCGAAAGCUUCGCCUGUCGUCCUGUUCACUGAAGGUCUCCAGUUCGAACCUGGACGAAAUCA